CAGCCGCCGCGGGAAUACAGAGGUCCCGAGCGUUGUUCGGAUUCACUGGGCGUAAAGGGUGUGUAGGAGGCUAGGUAAGUCAGUUGUGAAAUCCCACCGCUCAACGGUGGAACUGCAAUCGAUACUGCUUGGCUAGAGGAUCGGAGGGGGAAGCGGAAUUCUUGGUGUAGCGGUGAAAUGCGUAGAUAUCAAGAGGAACACCGGUGGCGAAGGCGGCUUCCUGGAAGAUUCCUGACUCUGAAACACGAAAGCCAGGGGAGCGAAUGGGAUUAGAUACCCCCGUAGUCCCUGUCUCUUAUAC
rnacentral:rRNA from 1 species